GGUUAAGCGACUAAGCGUACACGGUGGAUGCCCUGGCAGUCAGAGGCGAUGAAGGACGUGCUAAUCUGCGAUAAGCGCCGGUAAGGUGAUAUGAACCGUUAUAACCGGCGAUACCCGAAUGGGGAAACCCAGUGUGACUCGUCACACUAUCAUUAACUGAA
rnacentral:rRNA from 1 species